UUCUGAAAACUCCGGUGGUACAGGAUGGACCCGCGUCUGAUUAGCUGGUUGGCGGGGUAACGGCCCACCAAGGCGACGAUCAGUAGCCGGCCUGAGAGGGUGAACGGCCACAUUGGGACUGAGACACGGCCCAAACUCCUACGGAAGGCAGCAG
rnacentral:rRNA from 1 species